GAUGAACGCUGGCGGCGUGCCUAAUACAUGCAAGUCGAGCGAACAGAUGAGGAGCUUGCUCCUCUGACGUUAGCGGCGGACGGGUGAGUAACACGUGGAUAACCUACCUAUAAGACUGGGAUAACUUCGGGAAACCGGAGCUAAUACCGGAUAAUAUAUUGAACCGCAUGGUUCAAUAGUGAAAGACGGUUUUGCUGUCACUUAUAGAUGGAUCCGCGCCGCAUUAGCUAGUUGGUAAGGUAACGGCUUACCAAGGCAACGAUGCGUAGCCGACCUGAGAGGGGGAGCGGCAACACGAGAAAUGAGACAGGGUCCAGCCACAAGAGGGAGGAAGAAGAAGGAAAUCUUCAGAAAGGGGAAAAGACCGGAAGGAGAAACGCGGGGGGAGGAAGAAAGGUUUGCGGAUAGAAAAACUCUUUUAUGGGGGAAAAAAAAAGGUGAAAGUAAAAAUGCACGUCUGGACGAGACAUAAUAAGAAAGCCCCGGAAAACUACGUG
rnacentral:rRNA from 1 species